UCCGCUGUGACGGUCUCUCUCCGCUCUGCAAGCAAAGGAUCUUCCACCCCCAGCCCUGUUAUUUGUUAUUUCCCUGAUAUUUUUCGCGCUAAUCCGCAACGUGGAUCCUCGCUACCUGAAAUAUUUUCAUCGGAUGAUAUAUUUUCCCCAUCACGACAAAACGGACUGCUCAUCCUCAUCAUCAACAACACCGCGCGUUUCAGCAGGCAGGCUACAGCAACGCCCAUAGCAACCUCUCUAUGCGCAUCCACGAGCCAUCUGUUCAUUACUGCUUGUUUGUGUCUAUCGUCUCCGUCUCCGACAUCUCUGCUCCGCUGUCGCCCUCUCCCGGUUCCUCCCCCUGAUCCCCCCCUGUCUCGUCUCCAGGUUAGCGACAGGUCUCAUCUUUCGCCUCGCUGCUGGGCACGUAUCCUCCAUCACAAGGCCUCUUCACAGAGAGCAGCUGAUUCAGCUCCUCCCACUUCCUCUGGCUCCUCCCAGCUGUGGCCCCUACUGGGCACGCUCCUUGGCUCUUACCUUAUUGUCCCCGGCCUCAGGACGGAAGCCACGCCCACCACACUCCCUGCAUGAGGGACAAGGCCACUCAGACCCCCAGGGCCUGGGCGGAUGAGAGGAGGCGGG